rnacentral:rRNA from 1 species
UACGAAGGGGGCUAGCGUUGCUCGGAAUCACUGGGCGUAAAGCGCACGUAGGCGGAUUGUUAAGUCAGGGGUGAAAUCCUGGAGCUCAACUCCAGAACUGCCUUUGAUACUGGCGAUCUCGAGUCCGGGAGAGGUGAGUGGAACUGCGAGUGUAGAGGUGAAAUUCGUAGAUAUUCGCAAGAACACCAGUGGCGAAGGCGGUUAGCUGGGCAGUUGCUGACACUGAUGCGCGACAGCGUGGGGAGCAAACAGG